rnacentral:rRNA from 1 species
GGAGGGUGCGAGCGUUAAUCGGAAUUACUGGGCGUAAAGCGCGCGUAGGUGGUUUGUUAAGUCAGCUGUGAAAGCCCCGGGCUCAACCUGGGAACUGCAGUUGAUACUGGCCGACUGGAGUACGAGAGAGGGAGGUAGAAUUCCAUGUGUAGCGGUGAAAUGCGUAGAUAUAUGGAGGAAUACCAGUGGCGAAGGCGGCCUCCUGGCUCGAUACUGACGCUGAGGUGCGAAAGCGUGGGGAUCAAACAGGAUUAGAUACCCUGGUAGUCCACGCCGUAAACGAUGUCUACUAGCCGUUGGGAGACUUGAUUUCUUAGUGGCGCAGCUAACGCUUUAAGUAGACCGCCUGGGGAGUACGGCCGCAAGGUUA